rnacentral:rRNA from 1 species
GAUGAACGCUGGCGGCGUGCCUAAUACAUGCAAGUCGAGCGAACGGACGAGAAGCUUGCUUCUCUGAUGUUAGCGGCGGACGGGUGAGUAACACGUGGAUAACCUACCUAUAAGACUGGGAUAACUUCGGGAAACCGGAGCUAAUACCGGAUAAUAUUUUGAACCGCAUGGUUCAAAAGUGAAUGACGGUCUUGCUGUCACUUAUAGAUGGAUCCGCGCUGCAUUAGCUAGUUGGUAAGGUAACGGCUUACCAAGGCAACGAUGCAUAGCCGACCUGAGAGGGUGAUCGGCCACACUGGAACUGAGACACGGUCCAGACUCCUACGGGAGGCAGCAGUAGGGAAUCUUCCGCAAUGGGCGAAGGCCUGACGGAGCAACGCCGCGUGAGUGAUGAAGGUCUUCGGAUCGUAAAACUCUGUUAUUAGGGAAGAACAUAUGUGUAAGUAACUGUGCACAUCUUGACGGUACCUAAUCAGAAAGCCACGGCUAACUACGUG